GACGAACGCUGGCGGCGUGCUUAACACAUGCAAGUCGAGCGGUAAGGCCCUUUCGGGGGUACACGAGCGGCGAACGGGUGAGUAACACGUGGGUGACCUGCCCUCAGCUCUGGGAUAAGCCUGGGAAACCGGGUCUAAUACCGGAUAUGACUCCAUGACGCAUGUUGUGGGGUGAAAGCCUUGUGCGGCUGAGGGAUGGGCCCGCGGCCUAUCAGCUUGUUGGUGGGGUGAUGGCCUACCAAGGCGACGACGGGUAGCGGCCUGAGAGGGCGACCGGCCACACUGGGACUGAGACACGGCCCAGACU
rnacentral:rRNA from 1 species